GACGAACGCUGGCGGCGUGCCUAAUACAUGCAAGUUGAGCGCUGAAGGUUGGUACUUGUACCAACUGGAUGAGCAGCGAACGGGUGAGUAACGCGUGGGGAAUCUGCCUUUGAGCGGGGGACAACAUUUGGAAACGAAUGCUAAUACCGCAUAAAAACUUUAAACACAAGUUUUAAGUUUGAAAGAUGCAAUUGCAUCACUCAAAGAUGAUCCCGCGUUGUAUUAGUUAGUUGGUGAGGUAAAGGCUCACCAAGGCGAUGAUACAUAGCCGACCUGAGAGGGUGAUCGGCCACAUUGGGACUGAGACACGGCCCAAACUCCUACGGGAGGCAGCAGUAGGGAAUCUUCGGCAAUGGACGAAAGUCUGACCGAGCAACGCCGCGUGAGUGAAGAAGGUUUUCGGAUCGUAAAACUCUGUUGGUAGAGAAGAACGUUGGUGAGAGUGGAAAGCUCAUCAAGUGACGGUAACUACCCAGAAAGGGACGGCUAACUACGUG
rnacentral:rRNA from 1 species